rnacentral:rRNA from 1 species
CAGUCGACGGUAGCACAGCACAGCAAUAUGUGGGUGACGAGUGGCGAACGGGUGCGUAAUAUAUCGGAACAUACCUUGUAGCGGGGGAUACCUUAACGAAAGUUAAGUUAAUACCGCAUAACAUCUGAGGAUUAAAGCUGGGGACCGAAAGGCCUAGCACUACAAGAUUGGCCGAUACCUGAUUAGGUAGUUGGUAGGGUAAAGGCCUACCAAGCCUGCGAUCAGUAGCUGGUCUGAGAGGACGAUCAGCCACACCGGAACUGAGACACGGUCCGGACUCCUACGGGAGGCAGCAGAGGGGAAUUUUGGACAAUGGGCGCAAGCCUGAUCCAGUGAUGCCGCGUGUGUGAAGAAAGCCUUCGGGUCGUAAAGCACUUCUACUUGGGAUGAAAAGUCUGCGCUAAUAACGCAAGACGCUGACAGUACCAAGAGAAUAAGGAUCGGCUAACUACGUGCCAGCAGCCGCGGUAAUACGUAGGAUCCAAGCGUUAAUCGGAAUUAUUGGGCGUAAAGAAUUUGUAGGCUGUCGUGUACGUUGAUUGUGAAAUCCCUGGGCUUAACCUAGGAAUGGCAUUCAAGACUACACGGCUAGAGUAUAUAAGAGGCAAGUGGAAUUUCUAGUGUAGCAGUGAAAUGCGUAGAUAUUAGAAGGAACACCAGUGGCGAAGGCGACUUGCUGGGAUAAUACUGACGCUGAGAAAUGAAAGCGUGGGGGAGCAAACGGGAUUAGAUACCCCGGUAGUCCACGCCGUAAACGAUGUCAACUCGUAGUCGGAGCAACAGCUUCGGGUACCAAGCUAACGCAAUAAGUUGACCGCCUGGGAAGUACGGUCGCAAGACUAAAACUCAAAGGAAUUGACGG